CAUUUCCAACACUAAACAAACCUCUUAAGGGCCAUUCACAUAAGACUUUCCUCGCUUUGCUUGACAGUUCAAACUUUGACAACAAAGCGUGAAACGCAGAAGGUAUGCUACAAUAAACGCU